rnacentral:lncRNA from 1 species
UUUCCGGGGAUUCAGUCAAGACCAUCGCCAAGCUAUGGGAUAGUAAGAUGUUUGCUGAGAUUAUGAUGAAGAUUGAGGAGUAUAUCAGCAAGCAAGCCAAAGCUUCAGAAGGUGCUUCCUCCCACUCUGUGCCCCUCCCCAUCUCCUGUCUCUCCUGCCAGGCCCCCUGGCUCCCUGGCUGCUUGUGGCUGGGUAUAUCUCCUUCUCAGCCUUUUCCAGAGCCUUCUUUUUUUUUUGUUUCACCCCAACCCGUUCCCUUUUCCACUAAAUAUAUAUUGCAUUGUAAAGC